rnacentral:rRNA from 1 species
AACGAACGCUGGCGGCAUGCCUAACACAUGCAAGUCGAACGAGACGUUCGUGUCUAGUGGCGCACGUGUGCGGAACACGUGGGAACCUGCCCUUGGGUACGGAAUAACUCCCCGAAAGGGGUGCUCAGACCGGUUGAUGUCAUCGGGCCAAAGAUCUCUCGCCUUUGGAUGGGCGCGCGUUGGAUUAGCGGGUUGGUAGGGGACUAGCAUAGCAAGGCGACGAUGCAGAGCUGGUGUGAGAGGAUGCUCAGCUACACUGGGACUGAGACACGGCCCAGACGCGGACGCGAGGGAGCAGAGGGGAAUAUUGGAGACGGGGCGAAAGCGUGAUACAGCAAUGCCGGGUGAGUGAUGAAGGGCUUAGGGUUGUAAAGCUGUUUUAGCCGGAAUGAUAAUGACAGUACCGGGAGAAGAAGCACCGGCUAACUACGUG